UGUGGCCCCUGAAGGGCCAGACUCCAUGCUGAACUCUUGUGAUCAAGCUGUUGUCCAGACUGUACUGAAUGCCCGUGCAUCUUCCACUAGGGCAUUAUAUGACAAUAGAUGGAAGCUUUUUAACCAUUGUCACAGUACGCAGGGUGUAGACCCACAGCGCUGCUCUGUGCCAGUGCUGCUUAGCUAUCUUCAAACAUUUGAGGUUUGGCUUUUCAUGUUAACCAGCCUGUUACCAUGGCUGUCUUUGCCCCACAAUCUGGUGCAGAGACUAAUUCUAGUCUGUUGUGUCCUGUUCAUGCACUUAGACAUUAUGUUGAAUUGAC